AAUGAACGCUGGCGGCAUGCCUAACACAUGCAAGUCGAACGAAGCCUUCGGGCUUAGUGGCGCACGGGUGCGUAACGCGUGGGAAUCUACCCAAAGGUACGGAAUAACUCUCCGAAAGGAGUGCUAAUACCGUAUGAUGUCGCAAGACCAAAGAUUUAUCGCCUUUGGAUGAGCCCGCGUUGGAUUAGCUUGUUGGUGGGGUAAAGGCCUACCAAGGCGACGAUCCAUAGCUGGUCUGAGAGGAUGAUCAGCCACACUGGGACUGAGACACGGCCCAGACUCCUACGGGAGGCAGCAGUGGGGAAUAUUGGACAAUGGGCGAAAGCCUGAUCCAGCAAUGCCGCGUGAGUGAUGAAGGCCUUAGGGUUGUAAAGCUCUUUUACCCGGGAAGAUAAUGACUGUACCGGGAGAAUAAGCUCCGGCUAACUCCGUGCCAGCAGCCGCGGUAAUU
rnacentral:rRNA from 1 species